rnacentral:sRNA from 1 species
UCGCAUGUCCCAAAGGAGUCCGCCAUGAACGUUCGCAAGCUGUUGACCCUGGCCGCCCUGGUCGCCGCCGCGGUGGCCGUGCCGGUCGCGAUGGCCCAGGCGCAGAGCGCCGACCCGGCCGCCUCCGGUGCUGCCGCCUACGAGGCGCAGGUCGCCAAGGAAAAGGCCGAGGCCGACGCCAAGGCCAAGCGCCGCGCCGCCGCGGCCGCCGAGCACAAGGCCGGCAAGGAUGCGGCCGCGCCGAAGAAGGAAGAGGAAGAGGAAGCGCGCAAGCCCUGAGCCUGCGCACGGUUUCCUGCACACGACGCCCCGGUCGCCCGGGGCGUCGCUUUUUUGUGGGGCGG